CAGUGAUGAUGAGGGACAUGAGCCGAGGUCUGGAGCUGGAAGCUUUAGAUGGAUAACCUCCCAGAGCCUCCAUGUUGAGGACUGAUGAAGAUGGAGGAGGUGGAGAUGUGUGGAGGAGGUGGAGAUGAAGAUGGAGGAGUGAACGUCAAGACAUGUACAACACAUCUGCCUCAGGGGGGCGCCAUGUGCAGGUAUUCACACAAAUUAAACAAUGCAUUUAUCAUGACAGACUUCUGGUAAGUGGGUGUGGUCUGGACAGGGGUGUGUAUUAGACCCGGUGAGUGGGUGUGACCUGCACAG